CGCUUGCAGCGGAGGCGUCGGGGCCGCGGCUCGGGUGAGACGGUUCGCGCCGCGACACGCGUCCGCUCCUGCCGCUUUACGGCUGCUGAAAACCCGGCCCGCGCCCGGCAGCCGUACCGCAGAUGAGCCCGCACCCGCGCCGCUCAGGAAUAUGAAGACUUCUGUGUCAGUGGUCCCCCAAAACACCAUCAGGUAUGAUGAUUCACCAGCAAGAGUCCAAGGAUUCUGUGUAUAGUUGUACUUACAAUCAUGAUUUAUUACAGUGAAGGGGUAUGAAGCAAAAUAAGCAAAGAGAAAAAGUGCAUGGGGCAAAGUCUGGAAGAAACCA
rnacentral:lncRNA from 1 species